rnacentral:lncRNA from 1 species
GGGAUUUGUCGCAACUACGUUUUAACCGUUAGUACGUUUAAAGCGGGUACGUAUUAACGAGGUUUGACUGUAGUCAUUUACAACCUAAGAAAAAGUCUAAGCUCUGCCCACAGAACCGCGGCCUGCCUGCCCUUCACCUUUAAAAGACAGUCAUGCUAAGCAUGCUGCUUUCCACUUGAACCGUAAGCACUUUUCCCGGCUGAUGUAAAUACUACGCAUAUUAAGAGUGAAAGGUUCGUCAUUACUACCAAAAACAUUACGUUUGGCUGAGCAGCGAUGUCAGAAUCCCCGACAAAAUUUACCAGGGCGUUCAAGUUUCCGACCUAAAACCAGCGACGACACAGACAUGUGUCGUCGCUGGUUUGGGAAGUCAACUAUCUGAAACACUCGAGAAGUGCUUGAUGUCGCGAAAAUGGGUAAGCACUGUUGGACAAAGCAUUUAUGCAGAUUCUCUAUGGAAGGGACAGUGAUAGCUGUGGGCGGAGCUGACAUUUUUCCGUACGUUGUAGUCUACUGUAGUAUAUGGAAACUUGUUUAUCUGUAUUUUUGUGCCCCUUUUUGUGUUUGUUGCAGUUAAGCUUAUUUUCCCCUUUAAUCGCCAAAACUACAAUUCCAGAGCUUUAAUAUGUGGUUAAGAGUAGUCAUGAUUGAAAAUCACAAAACUGCCGUUCCACAGCCUGGUCAUGUGGCUCAGAGCGGUCAUGAUUGAAAUUACCAAAUCUACAAUUCCAUUGCUGGAUCGCUUGACUUCUAGCAGUCAUGAUUGAGAUUAACAAAUCUGCAUUUCCAUAGCCGGGUUGCACGUCUUGGAGCAGUCGUGACUGAAAAUUACUAAAACUAUUCUAGCCCCGAGGUGCUCUGUCUGGUUUUUACCUGUUGUUGCCUCUAUGAUCACGUCCCUAUGCAUAUAGCGAGUAUAAACAGUGAGGUGUUUCUUCUGUCUCAUGGACAAUUAAGAUUCUAAUGCUUACUUUGUACUUGUGUAUAGGUUUUUUUUUUUUUUUCCAUGUUGCCCAUCAUGUUGUGGUUCUUUGGUGCUGCUUGUCGAAUGAUAGAUGCACUCUAGCUUCAACUGUUGAUAGUCCUGUGUUGUGAUGGUAAAAGGAAGCCCCUAUUGACUUAAGAGCAAACAAAGCUGUUGUGACCUGCUGCUGCUGUGCCAUCAGAAGUGCCUGCAAUGCUUUUGAGGUGAUCCCAGGAUUAACCUUUUGUAUAAGUCUGAAAAAUAUGCCUUGUCAGAUGUGGUUGUCACUAGGAACAGGGCAUUUCUGCUACCUGUGGUCACAUUCCCACAACUCUUGCACUCUUCUUGGUUCUUUCAUCGUAAUUAGCCAAUGUUCAUCUGCAUUUCCCAGUGGGCUAGUUAUACCAGUUUAAAUGCAUAUAUAUGUAUGUUCAUAAGUAUAAAUAUAUAUAUACACACACACUUCCUUUUUUUUUCUCCUGGCUAUGGGCCACUAUUUGGCCAUGCCGGGUUUAGACUUGUAUCCCAUCUCUUUAGUCCUGUUGUGUCAUUAGACUGCUGAACAUUUUUGUUUCAUUAUCAUUGUUUGCUUGGAAAGUCGUAUGCAAAUGGUGAAAAUAAAGAGAAGUGUUGGAUUGUAC